GACAGAGGAUGGCAAGCGUUAUCCGGAAUGAUUGGGCGUAAGCGUCUGUAGGUGGCUUUUUAAGUCCGCCGUCAAAUCCCAAGGGCGUCAACCCCUGGACAGGCGGUGGAAACUACCAAGCUGGAGUACGGUAGGGGCAGAGGGAAUUUCCGGUGGAGCGGUGAAAUGCGCAGAUAUCGGGAAGAACACCCGUGGCGAAGGCGGCACUCUGGGACGGUACUGACGCUGAGACGCGAAAGCGUGGGGAGCGAACAGG
rnacentral:rRNA from 1 species